rnacentral:rRNA from 1 species
AUUGAACGCUGGCGGCAGGCCUAACACAUGCAAGUCGAACGAAUGGCGGACGGGUGAAUAAUGUAGUAGAAACUGGCUGAUGGAGCGGGAUAAGGACUGGAAACGGUAGAUACUACCGCAAACCACGCGAUGUGCCCUGAGGGUAUUAGCUAGUGUGGUGGGUAACGGCUCACCAAGGCGACGAUGCCUAGCUGGUCUGAGAGGCUGAGCGGCCACACUGGAACUGAGACACGGUCCAGACUCAUACGGGAGGCAGCAGUGGGGAAUCUGGGACAAUGGGCGAAAGCCUGAUGCAGCCACGCCGCGUGUAUGAAGAAGGCCUUCGGGUUGUAAAGUACUGUCAGUGGGGAGGCGUUACCCGCAGAAGAAGCAACGGCUAACUCCGUGCCAGCAGCCGCGGUAAUUC